CAACUUUCAACAACGGAUCUCUUGGUUCUGGCAUCGAUGAAGAACGCAGCGAAAUGCGAUACGUAGUGUGAAUUGCAGAAUUCAGUGAAUCAUCGAAUCUUUGAACGCACAUUGCGCCCUUUGGUAUUCCAAAAGGGCAUGCCUGUUCGAGCGUCAUUU
rnacentral:rRNA from 1 species